CUGGCUCAGGACGAACGCUGGCGGCGUGCUUAACACAUGCAAGUCGAGCGAUGAAGCUCCUUCGGGAGUGGAUUAGCGGCGGACGGGUGAGUAACACGUGGGUAACCUGCCUCAUAGAGGGGAAUAGCCUUUCGAAAGGAAGAUUAAUACCGCAUAAGAUUGUAGUACCGCAUGGUACAGCAAUUAAAGGAGUAAUCCGCUAUGAGAUGGACCCGCGUCGCAUUAGCUAGUUGGUGAGGUAACGGCUCACCAAGGCGACGAUGCGUAGCCGACCUGAGAGGGUGAUCGGCCACAUUGGGACUGAGACACGGCCCAGACUCCUACGGGAGGCAGCAGUGGGGAAUAUUGCACAAUGGGGGAAACCCUGAUGCAGCAACGCCGCGUGAGUGAUGACGGCCUUCGGGUUGUAAAACUCUGUCUUUGGGGACGAUAAUGACGGUACCCAAGGAGGAAGCCACGGCUAACUACGUG
rnacentral:rRNA from 1 species